UGGGGAAUUUUGGACAAUGGGGGAAACCCUGAUCCAGCCAUCCCGCGUGUGCGAUGAAGGCCUUCGGGUUGUAAAGCACUUUUGGCAGGAAAGAAACGUCGCGGGUUAAUACCCCGCGGAACUGACGGUACCUGCAGAAUAAGCACCGGCUAACUACGUGCCAGCAGCCGCGGUAAUACGUAGGGUGCAAGCGUUAAUCGGAAUUACUGGGCGUAAAGCGUGCGCAGGCGGUUCGGAAAGAAAGAUGUGAAAUCCCAGAGCUUAACUUUGGAACUGCAUUUUUAACUACCGGGCUAGAGUGUGUCAGAGGGAGGUGGAAUUCCGCGUGUAGCAGUGAAAUGCGUAGAUAUGCGGAGGAACACCGAUGGCGAAGGCAGCCUCCUGGGAUAACACUGACGCUCAUGCACGAAAGCGUGGGGAGCAAACAGGAUUAGAUACCCACGUAGUCCCUGAGCGGGCUGGCAAGGCGCAU
rnacentral:rRNA from 1 species